CUACACGGCUCCCUACUGAGGAUGACGGGAAGUCUCAGGAGUAUUGUGAAGUGAUACGGAUGGUGACGAAACCUAAAGCUGAUUUGGUAGACACCCCACUGGAAGACUGUGUUCUCACUCUGUCUGUAGAUGGCAGGGAACUGAUCUACUGGAGAAAAACUGAUAGAAAUAAAAUGUCUGCAUACAGGGGCGGGAUGGUGUGUGGAAGCCUUUUUAAGCACCCGGCUCAGAAAGACAAAGGCAGCAAUUGAACAUUUCCUCUGGAUCCUCUCAACCGGAAGAAAGUGGAUUAGAUCAAUGCACCAGUAGAUAUUUGGAGAGGGGGAAAAGAAAGUAACAGGAGAAAUAGAGGCGGAAAGGGCGCCGGAACCUUCUCAGCCUCCACAAAUGGAGGUCUCAGCAGGACGCUAACCCAGAAUGGUUUGGCAAAGCGGACAAGUGGCGGCAAUGAAUGGGCCCCCACUGCUCGCCCAAUCACCUGAACUCGAUCCAAUUGUGUCCAUAAAAUAUCACGGAAUGAAGGACUGCGGAUAAAACAAAUAAAACGGAAAAAGGCAUCCACCGGCCAUCAUCCCGAAUCCAAACAACAGUCCCCCAACUCCACUCACCCCGCAAAGGAAGGUCAACUCGCGAAUAAUUCAUUAACGAAAACAAACGUCCUCCCACGUUUACUCUGUCAAUAUCACUGCCGCUGAGUGGCAGUUCA